rnacentral:lncRNA from 1 species
UGCCUGAGCGACAGGCUGAUGUUGCCAAUAUCUCUUUUAAAAGUUACAGUUAACAAAGAUUUUCCUUCAGGUGAAAGCCACUUUCAUUUGGGCAUCUCCCUGGAGUGUCCAAAUUACACAUAGCUUUAGAGGUAACUUAACACUAUUUAAGGCUCCCUUCAGGUACUGGCAACUGGGUCAUCCCAAAGCCUUCUCUUUCCCAGGCAAUGAAGAAAUACAAAUAGUUCAUGGCAGUGAAUUAAAAAGGCAAAAGCGGAACAGACAAGAAAAAAAGGCAAGUAACAUUAAAGAGGAAAAGAUGCAAGAAAGCAAGACAAAGGACUGAGAAGUAGGACAAACUUCAGCAAUGUGAUCUGAAAACUGCUUAGAGGUCAAGUAAGCAAAGUGAAAGUUAUGCUCAUUUCUUGAAAGAAUCUGGAGAGAAACUAAAGGGAAAAUGAGUAGGCAAGUGAGUUUUGUUUGUUUUUAUUUUGGGGUUGGUUUGGUGUUUGGGUUCUUUUUUUAACUAUUUUAUAUACACACACACAGAGUGCAAGUUUGUCUAAAGAAGUGAUACUACAGAUAACAGAACUUACUCCCCUGCAACAUAUGGAAUAUCUUGACCUCUCAAGUAAACUAACGAUACAAAAGUGAUAAGAACAAAAGGUGCACGUAACACCAGCAGCAAUAUUGUGUUUGGCUUUCCACUACUUCUGCCAGUUACUGUACAUAUAUUACAUGACUAUUAUAGAAAUGGCACAGCCUCAGACACUUUCCACAUUUUAUUUACAUUUUAAGACUAACUUUAAUCUCAAUCACAUAUCCAUACAUUUCCUUUGUUUCACUAAAACUUAAAUGCAUGGUUUAUUAGAACAAAGACUGUAAACAAAUAUUUGCCAUGUCCCAUACAUGUAACACAGGAGCUGCUUAACAGAAAUUAAUCCC